rnacentral:rRNA from 1 species
AAUCAACGCUGGCGGCGUGCCUCAGACAUGCAAGUCGAACGCGAAAGUCUCCUUCGGGGGACAAGUAGAGUGGCGCACGGGUGAGUAACACGUAGGUAAUCUACCUUCGGAUGGGGAAUAACAACCGGAAACGGUUGCUAAUACCGCAUAAUGCAGCGGCACCUAAUGGUGACAGUUGUUAAAGCGGGGGAUCGAAAGACCUCGCGUCUGAAGAGGAGCCUGCGGCGGAUUAGCUAGNGGUAGGGUAACGGCCUACCAAGGCGACGAUCCGUAGCCGGCCUGAGAGGGUGGUCGGCCACACUGACACUGACAUACGGGUCUGACUCCUACGGGAGGCAGCAGUCGGGAAUUUUGGGCAAUGGGCGAAAGCCUGACCCAGCAACGCCGCGUGAAGGAUGAAAUCCCUCGGGAUGUAAACUUCGCAAGAACGGGAAGAAUAAGCGAGAGUAAAUAUCUUUCGCGAUGACGGUACCGUUUGUAAGCUCCGGCUAACUCCGUGCCAGCAGCCGCCGU